CCUACGGGUGGCAGCAGUGAGGAAUAUUGGUCAAUGGCCGGAAGGCUGAACCAGCCAAGUCGCGUGAGGGACGACUGCCCUAUGGGUUGUAAACCUCUUUUAUAAGGGAAGAAUAAAUGCUACGUGUAGCAUGAUGCCUGUACCUUAUGAAUAAGCAUCGGCUAACUCCGUGCCAGCAGCCGCGGUAAUACGGAGGAUGCGAGCGUUAUCCGGAUUUAUUGGGUUUAAAGGGUGCGUAGGCGGAACAUUAAGUCAGCGGUAAAAUCGAGGGGCUCAACCCCUUUAAGCCGUUGAAACUGGUGAUCUUGAGUGGGCGAGAAGUAUGCGGAAUGCGUGGUGUAGCGGUGAAAUGCAUAGAUAUCACGCAGAACUCCGAUUGCGAAGGCAGCAUACCGGCGCCCGACUGACGCUGAGGCACGAAAGCGUGGGGAUCGAACAGGAUUAGAUACCCUUGUAGUC
rnacentral:rRNA from 1 species